CUUUGUCUACUGUGUUGACAGACUCGACGCGUAUAACGAUUCCGCCUAAGCGCCACCCGUAGUAAUAAGUUUCGAUCGUGCGGCGACAUUCUACGAAACGGAAAUUAUUCCACCUUCAGGACACGUUCGAACUAACCACGGUAGGAACCCGUGAUAACCUACGAGUAGUAGGGCUUCUAUUUUAGAUUUCCAAUUAUUCGCUUCGCUGUUUGGACUGUGAUUCUCGAUCUAACGAUUAUUAAUGACACGAGAUGGACGUAAAAUGCAAUUUCACGGGGAUAUCCCAAAAUCGAGCGAAGGAGAAUCGACACGAUCUUAGAAGCUCAGCAACCAUGCGGGAUGCAUUCCUCCUUUCAACAGCUACAAUUUCAUCUCGCGUCACCCGCGUCUCCGUAUGGAACAAGCAACGACGAUAACUAUGACGACAACGACGACGACGAUGAGGAGCUCGUAAUUUCCGUGGCCCUCGAGGGAGAAAAGUUCGACGAACUUUUGUGUGUGUGUGUGUGCGUGUGUAUGUAUUCGUUAAAUAUCAGAAAUUAACUAAUUUCAUUCGAACGCGUUAAUUGCAAAAUCUAAAAAAAAAUAUCUCCUUUUAAUCACAUUUAAUAAAAUAUUUAUAUAUUUUUCGAAA